CCUACGGGAGGCAGCAGUGAGGAAUAUUGGUCAAUAGCCGCAGGGCUGAACCAGCCAAGUCGCGUGAGGGAUGACGGUCCUAUGGAUUGUAAACCUCUUUUGUCAGGGAGCAAAGGGCGCCACGUGUGGCGCUUUGCGAGUACCUGAAGAAAAAGCAUCGGCUAACUCCGUGCCAGCAGCCGCGGUAAUACGGAGGAUGCGAGCGUUAUCCGGAUUUAUUGGGUUUAAAGGGUGCGCAGGCGGAAUGUCAAGUCAGCGGUAAAAUUUCGGGGCUCAACCCCGUCGUGCCGUUGAAACUGGCGUUCUUGAGUGAGCGAGAAGUAUGCGGAAUGCGUGGUGUAGCGGUGAAAUGCAUAGAUAUCACGCAGAACUCCAGUUGCGAAGGCAGCAUACCGGCGCUCAACUGACGCUCAUGCACGAAAGCGUGGGUAUCGAACAGGAUUAGAUACCCUUGUAGUC
rnacentral:rRNA from 1 species